rnacentral:rRNA from 1 species
UACGAAGGGGGCUAGCGUUGCUCGGAAUCACUGGGCGUAAAGGGUGCGUAGGCGGGUCUUUAAGUCAGGGGUGAAAUCCUGGAGCUCAACUCCAGAACUGCCUUCGAUACUGGGAGUCUCGAGUUCGGGAGAGGUGAGUGGAACUGCGAGUGUAGAGGUGAAAUUCGUAGAUAUUCGCAAGAACACCAGUGGCGAAGGCGGCUCACUGGCCCGAUACUGACGCUGAGGUGCGAAAGCGCGGGGAGCGAACGGG